AUUGAACGCUGGCGGCAUGCUUUACACAUGCAAGUCGAACGGUAACAGGCCUUCGGGCGCUGACGAGUGGCGAACGGGCGAGUAAUGCAUCGGAACGUGCCCAGUCGGGGGGGAUAACGCAGCGAAAGCUGUGCUAAUACCGCAUACGAUCUGCGGAUGAAAGCGGGGGACCUUCGGGCCUCGCGCGCUUGGAGCGGCCGAUGUCAGAUUAGGUAGUUGGUGGGGUAAAGGCUCACCAAGCCAACGAUCUGUAGCUGGUCUGAGAGGACGACCAGCCACACUGGGACUGAGACACGGCCCAGACUCCUACGGGAGGCAGCAGUGGGGAAUUUUGGACAAUGGGCGCAAGCCUGAUCCAGCAAUGCCGCGUGCAGGAAGAAGGCCUUCGGGUUGUAAACUGCUUUUGUACGGAGCGAAAAGGCUCCCUCUAAUACAGGGGGCUCAUGACGGUACCGUAAGAAUAAGCACCGGCUAACUACGUGCCAGCCGCCGCGGUAAGAC
rnacentral:rRNA from 1 species